rnacentral:rRNA from 1 species
CGAGUGGCGGACGGGUGAGGAAUACAUCGGAAUCUACUCUUUCGUGGGGGAUAACGUAGGUAAACUUACGCUAAUACCGCAUACGACCUACGGGUGGAAGCGGAGGACCUUCGGGCUUCGCGCGAUUGAAUGAGCCGAUGUCGGAUUAGCUAGUUGGCGGGGUAAAGGCCCACCAAGGCGACGAUCCGUAGCUGGUCUGAGAGGAUGAUCAGCCACACUGGAACUGAGACACGGUCCAG